UACGUAGGGGGCGAGCGUUGUCCGGAAUUACUGGGCGUAAAGAGCGUGUAGGCGGGUACCUAAGUCAGGUGUGAAAGACCGGGGCUCAACUCCGGGGUUGCACUUGAAACUGGGUAUCUUGAGGGCAGGAGAGGAAAGCGGAAUUCCUGGUGUAGCGGUGAAAUGCGUAGAUAUCAGGAGGAACACCGGUGGCGAAGGCGGCUUUCUGGACUGACCCUGACGCUGAGACGCGAAAGCGUGGGGAGCGAACAGGAUUAGAUACCCUGGUAGUCCACGCUGUAAACGAUGGGCACUAGGUGUAGGAGGUAUCGACCCCUUCUGUGCCGCAGCUAACGCAAUAAGUGCCCCGCCUGGGGAGUACGGUCGCAAGGCUGAA
rnacentral:rRNA from 1 species